rnacentral:rRNA from 1 species
GAUGAACGCUGGCGGCGUGCCUAAUACAUGCAAGUCGAACGGAGUAUGUAGCAAUACGUACUUAGUGGCGAACGGGUGAGUAACGCGUUGGUGACCUGCCCCGAAGCGGGGGAUAACAGUUCGAAAGAGCUGCUAAUACCCCAUGUGUUUUCUGGGAUUAGAUGCCCAGUUCAUAAAGGAGUAAUCCACUUCGGGAGGGGCCUGCGUCCCAUCAGCUAGUUGGUAAGGUAAUGGCUUACCAAGGCGAUGACGGGUAGGGGGCCUGAGAGGGCGACCCCCCACAAUGGAACUGAAACACGGUCCAUACACCUACGGGUGGCUG